GCGUAUGCAACCUACCUUCUACAGGGGGAUAGCCCAGAGAAAUUUGGAAUAAUACCCCAUACGAUCUUUACUUGGCAUCGAGUAGAGAAGAAAACCUCGGUGGUAGAAGAUGGGCAUGCGUCCUAUUAGUUAGUUGGUGAGGUAACGCUCACCAAGACAUCGAUAGGUAGGGGCCCGUCGAGAGGGGGAGUCCCCCACCACUGGUACUGAGACACGGACCAGACUCCUACGGGAGGCAGCAGUGAGGAAUAUUGGACAAUGGGGGCGAACCCUGAUCCAGCCAUGCCGCGUGCAGGAAGA
rnacentral:rRNA from 1 species